rnacentral:rRNA from 1 species
GAUGAACGCUAGCUACAGGCUUAACACAUGCAAGUCGAGGGGAAACGACAGAGGAAGCUUGCUUCCUUUGGGCGUCGACCGGCGCACGGGUGAGUAACGCGUAUCCAACCUUCCCGCAAGUAAGGGAUAACCCGUAGAAAUGCGGCCUAAUACCUUAUGUUUUCCUUAGAGGGCAUCUGAUGAGGAACAAAGAUUCGUCGCUUGCGGAUGGGGAUGCGUCUGAUUAGUUAGUCGGCGGGGUAACGGCCCACCGAGACGACGAUCAGUAGGGGUUCUGAGAGGAAAGUCCCCCACAUUGGAACUGAGACACGGUCCAAACUCCUACGGGAGGCAGCAGUGAGGAAUAUUGGUCAAUGGGCGCAGGCCUGAACCAGCCAAGUCGCGUGAGGGAAGACGGUCCUACGGAUUGUAAAACCUCUUUUUGUCGGGGGAGUAACGUGCGGGACGCGUCCCGUAUUGAGAGUACCCGAAGAAAAAGCAAUCGGCUAACUCCGUG